rnacentral:rRNA from 1 species
CGCCAGACUCCUACGGGAGGCAGCAGUGGGGAAUAUUGCACAAUGGGGGAAACCCUGAUGCAGCGACGCCGCGUGAGCGAUGAAGUAUUUCGGUAUGUAAAGCUCUAUCAGCAGGGAAGAAGAUGACGGUACCUGACUAAGAAGCCCCGGCUAACUACGUGCCAGCAGCCGCGGUAAUACGUAGGGGGCAAGCGUUAUCCGGAUUUACUGGGUGUAAAGGGAGCGUAGACGGCGAUGCAAGCCAGAUGUGAAAGCCCGGGGCUCAACCCCGGGACUGCAUUUGGAACUGUGUGGCUGGAGUGUCGGAGAGGCAGGCGGAAUUCCUAGUGUAGCGGUGAAAUGCGUAGAUAUUAGGAGGAACACCAGUGGCGAAGGCGGCCUGCUGGACGAUGACUGACGUUGAGGCUCGAAAGCGUGGGGAGCAAACAGGAUUAGAUACCCGCGUAC